CAGGUGUGUGUAAUGAUGGGGACAGGUGUGUGUAAUGAUGGUGACAGGUGUGCGUAAUGAUGGUGACAGGUGUGUGUAAUGAUGGUGACAGGUGUGUGUAAUGAUGGUGACAGGUGUGUGUAAUGAUGGUGACAGGUGUGUGUAAUGAUGGUGACAGGUGUAUGUAAUGAUGGUGACAGGUGUGUGUAAUGAUGGUGACAGGUGUGUGUAAUGAUGGUGACAGGUGUGUGUAAUGAUGGUGACAGGUGUGCGUAACGAUGGUGACAGGUGUGUG